CCAUGCCUAUAUGACCCUUCCCUUUUACCCCCAUGCCUAUAUGACCCUUCCCUUUUACUCCCCCAUGCCUAUAUGACCCUUCCCUUUUACCCCCCCCCCAUGCCAGUAUGACCCUUCCCUUAAAACCCCAUGCCAGUAUGACCCUUCCCAUGCUGAUAGAAACAGACCACGCUGUUCAGGUCUGUUCCCCCCUCUCCCCUUCCUUUUCCUAUGCCACUCCAUUGCUCUCCAUGACUCUGCACUGUGUGUCCAUGUACACAAAAUGCUUUGUUCCUGUAAGCAAUAAUGAAUCUUUACGAGUCGCGCAUGGAAAGGCUUUUGUUCAGAGGGUUUGUCUUCACUGAGCAAGGCGGAGGGAGCUAGAGCCAGAUCAAACUAACCACAGCCACACUCCUAAACUCUUACCAGUGCUCACAUUCACAUUGAUGGGCACACACCACUUUACUUCUGCUUGAUGGUAGAAUGGGACACAACCUAUGAUGUACCCCUUAGAAAGUUGUCGGUGUAUAUAAAAUACUACCACGUUUGGCGGCCAUAUUGAAUUAGUCUCAAAGAGAAACACUAGAAAGUGUUUCUAUGCUUGGCCAGCCCCCUGUGACAGGGUGGUUCAAACUCUGUAUGCCAGGCUUCCCUGAAGACAAACCCAUGACCAGCUCUUCCCCAACCUGCAGGUUAGGUAAACCAGUAAAAAGUUUCAGUAUCUCUAUCUUCUGUGUUGUUCUCGUAGUAUACAAAUGUGUAUCUUAACGGUGACUAUUAUCAUGUAUAAAGAUUAGACCAAGUCUUUUGUCUAAAGGGUUUUAUUUGACCUCUUCUGCAACCGGAUGGAUUUUAAUUAGACCUUCUGAAUUUUCCCAAACAUUUCUGGGGGUGUUACUCUCACCAUUGGUGUGUGUGUAGGCACUCAGGUGUGUGUGCUGUGGCUCCAGUUGCUCCACCUACAGAUCCAGGGGACUUAAUUAGAGUGUCUUCAGCCUCCACCUGUCAAGCUGUGGCAAUAGAACAGCCAUAUUUAAUUAACUACCCA
ensembl:lncRNA